rnacentral:rRNA from 1 species
AGUGAACGCUGGCGGUAGGCCUAACACAUGCAAGUCGAACGGCAGCACAGUAAGAGCUUGCUCUUACGGGUGGCGAGUGGCGGACGGGUGAGGAAUACAUCGGAAUCUACUUUUUCGUGGGUGAUAACGUAGGGACACUUACGCUAUUACCGCAUACGACCUACGGGUGAAAGCAUGGGAUCUUCGGACCUUGCGCGAUUGAAUGAGCCGAUGUCGGAUUAGCUAGUUGGCGGGGUAAAGGCCCACCAAGGCGACGAUCCGUAGCUGGUCUGAGAGGAUGAUCAGCCACACUGGAACUGAGACACGGUCCAGACUCCUACGGGAGGCAGCAGUGGGGAAUAUUGGACAAUGGGCGCAAGCCUGAUCCAGCCAUACCGCGUGGGUGAAGAAGGCCUUCGGGUUGUAAAGCCCUUUUGUUGGGAAAGAAAAGCAGCAGGUUAAUACCCCGCUGUUCUGACGGUACCAAAAGAAUAAGCACCGGCUAACUUCGUG